UACGGAGGGUGCGGGCGUUGUCCGGAAUCACUGGGCGUAAAGGGCGCGUAGGCGGCUUGGGAAGUCCGUGGUGAAAGCCCGAGGCUCAACUUCGGGUCGGCCAUGGAUACUCCUAAGCUCGAGUCGACUAGAGGCUAAUGGAAUUCCGGGUGUAGCGGUGGAAUGCGUAGAGAUCCGGAAGAACACCGGUGGCGAAGGCGGUUAGCUGGGGUCGGACUGACGCUGAGGCGCGACAGCGUGGGGAGCAA
rnacentral:rRNA from 1 species